CCAACAUGGAUGCCCCGGGAGGUCUCUCUCCCUGGAGGUUCUGAUCAGGUGGCCUAAGGGGGCACAGGGCUCUUUCUGUGAUGUACUGUCCCUUUCCACAACAUGGCGUGAAAGCUGAACCUUGAGCCUGCACCUGCAUUUUCCUACAGCUUCUCAGAGUUCUGUGGACAAUGGCCAAGGAGACAAACCAUGCAGGAAACAUCU